AUAAAUGAGCAGUGAUGGUGCAAUUGGCUGUUUUCUCUUGAAUAUAAUGGUAAGAGCUGCAGGAGUGCCAGGUGUGUGUUCCAGUCCCCAGCAUUUGGUUUGCACAUGUCCUGGUCAGACACAGGUCCAACUUCCUCAGUCCUUAACCCAAUAGAGGGAGAAUUAAGGACUGGCAGUGUUAAGGUGACUGGUGUGACAGGGGUGAAACUGGGAAAACAUUGGGGAAUUCCUCAGUUUCCCUAUUUGGCAAACUCACCCAAACCUGUGCUAGGAAGAGAUGGACUGGAAAAGUUGAGGCAGAAAUGAAAUGGAAAACUGGGGAUAUUGUAACUGUAAUUGCUGAAACUAAAUGUGUCAAAGCAGCAGCUCUUGUUGUGCAGGGAAUAACUCCUGUCAGCAGCAAGGUCCCGACUGAAGUGGCAGCUGCAGUUGUUCCUGUGGUGUGGGCCAGUGGAACUGCAGGAGAGUGGGAGAGGGCAGAACCUGUAGGUGUUACCCCUAAUGUGGGAUCUCUCCUGGUAAGGCAAACCCAGUACCCUUUAAAAUCAGAAUGCCAGCUUGGAUUGGUUGCAGUAACAGCUAAAUUGGCUCAUCCUGGUUUGCUUGUAGGACGUGAAUGCCAGAACCUGCCAAGAAACCAAUGUCCAAGAUGAUUGAUGAGUGCAGGACCUGAGAGAACCACCUUGAAUGACAACCUUAGGUUUAAAAGAUGGCUGUUGCUUUUGAAGGAGAAAAUCUGGAAAGCAGGAAGGAAGAAAAGCAGCCCCCUGACUCCUCCCUGAGCCCCAGACAGCCCAUGAACUGCCUUCCUGGGAAUGGUGGGACGGGGUGGACUCUGGAUUGCUCCCUCUGGAUGUGUGGCUCUCCCCUGCAGGAACUGCAGGAACUCCUGGUGCCGCCUGGGCCGAUGGAUUGGACGCCCCAGCCCCUCCGUUCCUGCCCAGCCCCUGGGUCCGUGUCCAGUGGUGGCACUGCCAGCCCUGCAGUGGGAUGUAGCCUGGAAAGUGCACAGAGCUGAGCCAAGGGAUUGAAAGGGACCAAGCAAGGGAGGUGAAGAAAGAAGGGAAGUGAGGCAUGAGCCAAGCAGCAGCAAGUUGCUGUGU